GGUGGAGAGUUAUGGUGGCGCGUGUUACAGGCUCAGGGGUCAGGAAGAAGCCUAAUCCUGGAGGCGGCAUCUGAGGAGGGUCUUGAACGCUGGGCAGGCUUUUGCCCGAUAGAGAUGGAGGAAGCUAGUCCUGUCUGAUGGAGGAAACAGGGCAGAGGCGUGGAGGGAGAUGCGCAGUGCUGGUGUGAGGAGCCGCGAGCAGGCCAGGCCUGUAAAGCAGAGUGAUGGGAACCAGGAUAGAGAAGGCAAAUCGGGGUCCUGCGGUCGCUGAAGAAUUUGAAUGAAAUCAUUAAACAGAGAUCUUAUCUAUCAAGCCCUUCUCAAAUGCCACUUCAAAAAACUUUUUCUAAUCACCAAUUGUCUUAGUCAAUUUAUGCUCUUACAACAAAAUAACACAGACUAGGCAAUUUAUGAAAAGCGGACGUUUAUCUGUCAUAGUUCUGGAGACUAGGAAGUCCAAGAUCAAGGCGUUGGCAGGUCUGAUGUCUGGUAAGGGCUGUUCUCUCCGUUCAAGAUGGUGUCUUGAUGCUGCAUCUUCCAGAGACAAGGAACACUGUGUCCUCACAUGGUGGAAGGCAGGAGAGCAAGAGGGAUGAACUCCCUCCAUGGAGCCCUUUCAUGAGGGCUCCUAAACCCAUUCCUGAGGUAGGAGUCCUGAUGGCCUCAUCACUUCCUGUAGGCACCACCUCAACACUAUCAAAUUAUCAACGCUGAAUCUCGGAGGAGGCACAGUGAAACCACAGCACCAAUCAAGUAUGAUCUUUCUGUCCUCAGAAACCCCCUCAUAUGUUUAGACCUCCCAUGCACUUUUAUACAUUUUGUCUCAUGGUUUCUUCCUGUACAAAUAAGGUGCUGUAAAUGGAUAGCUAUAGUUUUGGGUUUCAUUUCAACAAAACCCCCUUCCUAGUUUUUUGAACCCCAAGCAAAAUAUGAGGACAGGCCCCACCUUCCAUUACAAAAGCUGAAAGGGAGUGCAUGAUCCUUUUUCCAGUUUCUUGGCCACCCACGUGUGGGCACAUAUCUAGGCCCAGCCAACUGAUGUCUCUUUAUUAGAACUUGGAACCCGAUGAAAUGAUGCAAAAGACCUGAAAGAAUCAGAGAUGAUUCUGAGAAAUUGAGCAGAGAUGCACGUCCAGGAAUGUGGCAGCAAGUGCCUAGGUUCAGCAGAGCCCAGCUACAGGGUGACAAGUGUCAAAUGACAACAUCCUAGUGGUGGCAUCCCAAGAUCUCCUUCCGUCGAAUGAACUUGGCUGUGCUGAGUUUCCCUCAGUUCUUACCUUGCUUCUUCAGCAUCUUCAAUGAUUUUGUGAACUAUUCAAUAUCCUUUCAUUGAAUUCCUGUUUUGCUUAAGUUGUCUAGAAUUUAUUUUUAGUGAAAAAUAUAAACCAAUUAUGCCCUUACAUUAAAACACACUCCACUGAGGCAUCUCCUGUGAUCUCAUUGGAGAAAAGUGUGGACGUUAUUUGUAAUUUGACUCAGAAUGAUAGGAUUAGUUUGGUACUAGUAACAACGGAGAUAAGUAACUAACUUUUUGUGAAACUUCUUCCUGGGGUGAAACAAAAUCUAUUGUGGAAACUCUUUCCAAUCAUCUCUGGAAAUUUAUUAAGUGACCUAGUAUAUAAUGAUAAUUUACCAUGAUAUUUGAUAAUAUAGUUUUGUGUGUUCAGAAUAAUUUCUUUUUUCUUUACCUUUGAAAAUAAUGCAUUGAUACUUAUUUUUCUCCUAAAUUGUCUGUUUUUAUUUCCAUAAAAGGUAUUUAUUGAAUGUCUCCUUACUUUUAAUAUAACUAGGCAUUGUGUGAUCAAAGCAAAAUAAAUAUGUUCUUGUUUCUGGAAUUACUAAAGCUUUGAAAAUGGACUUAUCGACCUCAAACCAAUGGGACAUAUUCCUACAUGGCCUUCUCCCCUGUUAGGGUUCCCAGGGUAAGUGGUGAUUCCUUUUCUGUCUUUUUAAAGAUUUUAGAAAUGCAGCUUCUUCUGUGGGCCACUAGGUGGAGUACUUCAGAGCAGGGUUUGUGGGAGUACAAAGCUAACUUCUGCUGCUUUUGCUUGAUGCUUCUGCAGCUCCCUUGACUACUGUGGAUGAUAAGUAACCAUUUUCUUCCUCUUCUUUCUUUUUUCCCCUCACUCUUUGGAGUGAACUUGAAACAUUUAGGAAGUUUGUUCAUCAACGUAUACCGUGUUUAUGAAAAUCUGGCUAAGAUAAUAUGGUAGGACUCCUUUGGUUAUAAAUAAUAGAAUUCAAACUCAAACUGGUCUAAGCCAAAAAAUAUAUAUUAAUUUGUGGACUCGUAUAAUGGAAAAAUCCAGGGUAUAGCUUCAGAAUGGCUGAACGCAGGGACUCAGGACUUGGCUCCUCUCCUCUUCCUUGCUUUUUCCUUCCCCAUUGAUUUUAUUCUCAGACAAGUUUUCCCUUUGUGCUGCAAUGUGGCCAUCAUCACUCCUCCAGUUUACAUUUCCUUAGUUCCAUAGCCCCAGAAUAAAGCAAAAACAGAAACACUUCUAAUAGUUUCAAUAAGAGACUAGAGAUUGACUUUGGGUGUGAGGCUUGGAUUUCAUGUCCAUCUCUAGUUUCAUCUGUGCCAGGAUUAGAAGUCUAUUCAUUGGCCAGGCCUGUGUCACGAGCUCAUACAGGGUUUCCACUGUCCACACAGUGCUUUGCAAGUAUUAGAAAAUGGCUCCCCUUUCUCCAGUUAGAUGCAACCUUGUAUCGGUGCAUGUGGCUUGGAGAAGAACAUGCAGGCUGGAUUUCAACCCCCCUUUCUCCCUUAGCUGGGUUUCUUCCUUGAGUGAACAACAUACUUGUUAGUAGCUGUCCUGUGCUUAUUCCUGAAACUGGGGGUGAAAUCAGCCCCCACGCGAAAACUGAAGGACAGAAGGUGGCUUCAUCUAGGGUAUCAGAUAAUGGCUAAUAACAAAGGGAGGGGACAGUGGGUGCUGUGUAGGCAAAAGGAGCAAAAAAUAAUCCUAACCUGUCUAGACUUCAUCUCAGAAACCAUAUGCAACCUUCUUCAAUGGAAAUAUUUAACACUUCAGGAGUGCCAAGAAGGCUAUAAGGAGCAUAUCUCUUAAGGACCUAAGUUAGGGCAUUCUAGAAUGUAUGCUUUAUGGAUUUACCUUAUAAAUAUAUAACAUUGACUAAUACACACAGAAAAUAUAUUGCAGAGUAACAUAGAUGACAGAACUUGAAAUACAUGACAUUCUACCACAGUCUAUCAUUAUUUUCCAACUUAUCAAAAGACUCAGAGGAUCUUUUUUUUUGUAUUGAUAAAUUUCUAGCCAGAGCCCUAUUUACUCGUGUCUUGAACAACAGAGUAUUUGCAAAUAUAUCUGAAGAAGGAAGAGAAAGAAAAUGAUUCCAAAAAAGCUGAUAACAUUAAGACAGCUUUUUAUAGAAGAUGUAAAUUUGCAACCACAAAUUAAAAACUUAUAGGAGAUACACAAAAUGUGAAGAAAAAUAAAUGAAACCAAACCACUACAAGAAAUAACCAAACUAAGAAGACAGCAAGAGAGGAAAAAAAAAAAAAGAACUGCAAAACAUAUGAAAAACAAUUAACAAAAUGCAAGUUACUCCUUACCUAUCAACAAUGACUUUAAAUGUGAAAGGAUUAAACUAUCUAAUUAAAAGACAUAGAGUGGCACAAUGCAUAAAAGAUACUCAUCAGUACAUAUUUAUAAGGGAGUCAAUUUAGAUAUAAAGAUAUAUAGAGGCUCAAAGUGAAGGGAUGGGAAAAGAUACUCUAUGCAAAUGGUAA
rnacentral:lncRNA from 10 species